GACGAACGCUGGCGGCGUGCUUAACACAUGCAAGUCGAGCGAUGAAGUUUUUUCGGAAAUGGAUUAGCGGCGAACGGGUGAGGAACACGUGAAGAAUCUGCCCUCCACUUUGGGAUAACACAGGGAAACCUGUGCUAAUACCGAAUAUUGAAACAUAAGUGGCAUCACUGAGUUUUGAAAGAAUUUCGGUGGAGGAUGACUUCGCGGCCUAUCAGCUAGUUGGUGAGGUAAUGGCUCACCAAGGCAACGACGGGUAGCCGGCCUGAGAGGGCGACCGGCCACACUGGGAGUGAGACACGGCCCAGACUACUACGGGAGGCAGCAGUGGGGAAUAUUGGGCAUGGAGGAAACUCUGACCCAGCGACGCCGCGUGCGGGAUGAAGGCGUUCGGGUUGUAAACCGCUUUCAGUAGGGAAGAAGCGAAAGUGACGGUACCUACAAAAGAAGCACCGGCUAACUAUGUGCCAGCAGCCGCCGUAA
rnacentral:rRNA from 1 species